UGUAACAUUCAAUAGCGCAAGUGACCACUGUGUUACAAGCAGGCAGGGUAGCAGAUGGAUUGCAUUGCUGCGCAUAACUGCAGACACUGCUAUUAUAAAAUUCUUACACAGCAAUCAGUGAAUAAACUAGGUGUUAGUAAUUGGAGAGACGGCCAGACAGUAUCAUUGGCAUUAGCAAUCGUCUUUGUAUUUAUCAGAGCAAGCAACUAACAGACAGGCCCAUGAAUUUAGGUGGCAUCACACAUAAGACAGAUAACAGAAUACCUCAUAAUCAAAAUCUCAAACAUAGCUAAAUUUCGCACAAUAUUGCAGAAGUCUGGGACCAAGAUACAUUGCUGAUCGAAAUCUCAAUAGGCCGGCCACCAAAGUGAUCUAAGAAGCAGCAGCCUCAUUAAGCUUCGCUAGCUCCUUCACUGAUAGCUCCUCCUCUCUGUUCACAUAGUAAUCAAAUUUAUCAGCAAUGCAUAAGUUGUUUAAAUAAUAAUCAUAGGUUUUGGCAAGCUUCAAGAUUUCUUUUAUAAUCUCACCUUGAUAUUGGCAAAGCAUGACCUUGAACCUGUGAAAGUCAUCGAGGAUCUCCCUCUUGGUCUGUAAAUAAAGAACAAGAAACAGCAGCUAUCAAAAUAAAGGGAAUGCUUUUUGAUGUGAAAAAAUAUGAUGGAAUCGCUCCAUACAUGAAGGGGUCAAGAAAUCUGAUAAUUCCGAACCGCAGUGGCAGCACACUGAUGGAUGCUCGAUGUGGCACGUAGGGCACAUUGACCUUGCUGGUGACUUGCCAAGCUGCUUAUCCACCAUUUUCUGGAUGCUUUUAGCCUUCUCCAACAAUUCAUUAGUAUUGCCAAUGAGUAAAAAGGCACAAGGAAUGAUAAUUGAUAAAGCCCACAAGCCCGUGAAAACUUCUUCAAUGGCUUUAGGAAAGCCCAUAGUUGCUUUAGGCGCCAACAGCAAG
rnacentral:lncRNA from 1 species